GAUGAACGCUGGCGGCGUGCUUAACACAUGCAAGUCGAACGAUGAAGCCCAGCUUGCUGGGUGGAUUAGUGGCGAACGGGUGAGUAACACGUGAGUAACCUGCCCUUAACUCUGGGAUAAGCCUUGGAAACUGGGUCUAAUACCGGAUAGGAGCGCCUACCGCAUGGUGGGUGUUGGAAAGAUUUAUCGGUUUUGGAUGGACUCGCGGCUUAUCAGCUUGUUGGUGAGGUAAUGGCUCACCAAGGCGACGACGGGUAGCCGGCCUGAGAGGGUGACCGGCCACACUGGGACUGAGACACGGCCCAGACUCCUACGGGAGGCAGCAGUGGGGAAUAUUGCACAAUGGGCGGAAGCCUGAUGCAGCGACGCCGCGUGAGGGAUGACGGCCUUCGGGUUGUAAACCUCUUUCAGUAGGGAAGAAGCGAAAGUGACGGUACCUGCAGAAGAAGCACCGGCUAACUACGUG
rnacentral:rRNA from 1 species